GAUACCCUAUUAUUGAAAAUGUAAAUAUUUAAAUUAAUUAGUAUUUGUUAUGUUCAUAAAAAUUAAAGAAUUUGGCGGUAUUUUAGUCUAUUCAGAGGAACCUGUUCUAUAAAUGAUAGUCCACGAUUUAUAUUAUUUAUCUUAUUAGUUUGUAUAUCGCUGUAGUUGAAUAUUUUAUAAGAAUUUUAAUAUUCAUGAUUUUUGUUUAAAAAUAAAUCAAGUCAAGGUGUAGUUUAUAGAUAAAUAGUAAUGGGUUACAAUAAAUUUAUUUAUUAUGGAUUGUUUAAUUAAAUUUAAAUAUAAAAUUGGAUUUGAUAGUAAUUUUAAAUAAUUAUUUAGAAUGAUUAUAGCUCUAAAAUAU
rnacentral:rRNA from 1 species